rnacentral:rRNA from 1 species
GGGUAGUUUGACUGGGGCGGUCUCCUCCCAAAGAGUAACGGAGGAGCACGAAGGUUAGCUAAUCCUGGUCGGACAUCAGGAGGUUAGUGCAAUGGCAUAAGCUAGCUUGACUGCGAGCGUGACGGCGCGAGCAGGUGCGAAAGCAGGUCAUAGUGAUCCGGUGGUUCUGAAUGGAAGGGCCAUCGCUCAACGGAUAAAAGGUACUCCGGGGAUAACAGGCUGAUACCGCCCAAGAGUUCAUAUCGACGGCGGUGUUUGGCACCUCGAUGUCGGCUCAUCACAUCCUGGGGCUGAAGUAGGUCCCAAGGGUAUGGCUGUUCGCCAUUUAAAGUGGUACGCGAGCUGGGUUUAGAACGUCGUGAGACAGUUCGGUCCCUAUCUGCCGUGGGCGCUGGAGAAUUGAGGGGGGCUGCUCCUAGUACGAGAGGACCGGAGUGGACGCAUCACUGGUGUUCGGGUUGUCAUGCCAAUGGCAUUGCCCGGUAGCUAAAUGCGGAAAAGAUAAGUGCUGAAAGCAUCUAAGCACGAAACUUGCC